UGGAACAAAGACCUGAUAAGAUAACUUUAAGCCAAUUCUCUCUCAAACCAAUUAUGGAGUGCUUUACCUGAACUUAAUUUCCCCCGAUAUUUCCCGGUAAUACUCCAGAUAUUUUCCUUCUGAUCUUCCAGCCUAAACACCAGGUGUUGUUUCCCAAAGGUGCAGAAAGCUGCUUCUCCGUGUGUCUUUCCCAGCCACACUCUGCCUGCCAUCUGUUAAUUGACAGCUGCUUCUCUUUGCUUUGUUCUUCCUUCCGCUGAUGGAUUCCUUCCCAGUGCGCUCUUAUGCUCAUUCCAAGGCAUGGCUGGAGCAGACCUCAGAGCAUGGCUUCUUUAGGAGGGCAUUUCAUCCCAGAUGUAUACAGAUUAGAAUGUGGUGUCGCUCUGCUUUCUUAAGCAUACGGUAUGGUAAAGCCCCACUGAAGCCCCACAGAGAUUGAUUUCUGAGGAAACACGUAGGACCUUGCGGUAACACGAAAAAAGGUCUGGCAGGAGAGGCACGUUGCAGGUCACGUCUGUGAAGGAGUUCCAUUAACCUACGGGAUGAGCCUUUUCUGCCAUGGCACCCACUCUUUGCAACAUCAUCCACCCUGAGAAAAUCCACAUCGCUGUUAUCAAGCAAUUUAUUUGCCAAGAGUUACUCAUGAUACAUUUCAAAUAAGUUACAUAGAUGUGUUUGAAGAUGAAUUACAUUCAUAGAAACCAGCACAAUAGAUCAGUGGAAAACAUUCCUUUAAUGAAGAAUCAAACCAUUUUGAACUUGGGAAAAAAGAAAGAUACAGAUCACCUCCCCCAUCUUGCCCUGUGACACCAACCUGACCAGGGAAGUUCUCCGCCAUCUAGCACCCAAACAUAAUCAGCCAGAUGACUUUUGAGCUAGCACCACUUCAACCCAUUCUACUCAUCUAUCCAUGACUGAUGGGACGUCACAAGCAAUAACAGGAACCCUCACCCAGGGUAUGGCCUUCCAGGAACCCACUCAAAUGCCAUUCCUGAAGAUGGCCUCUCAGUGUUCUUCGGCAAGCACAAGGGAGCCAUCACUGGUGGAAUCCAAAAAACCUUGCUGGCCCAAACCACGCUCUCACAAACCCAUAAAAGCUCCAUGCAGCAUGGAGUCAGUCUGCUUCAAAACAACUUCCAGAAUAGUCUCGGUGUUGAUAUAAUGGGAUGCAAGAAUAACCUUGAGGAACAGGAGGAAGAGCUGCAGCCAAGGCAAUGGUCAGAGAAGAGAAAUCUGAGCCCAAUGGAGGAAUGGAAGCUGAGAAAGUGGCUCAUACUGGACUCUCCCAAGUUCUCCUUAGGAUGAAGGCAGGGAGUGUGGGAGGCACAUUCAGACCUACAAGAUCCAGUUACUGAAAGUAGUUUUAGUAUUCAUGGCUUUGGUGUUCAAAUCUGGUCUACCUUAAAGGGCUGGCAGGCAAGAGCUUCACAGAGUGGAGAAUUCACACCCCAAAGUAUGUCAAAAUUACUGCUUUCCCCCAGCAUACCACAUUGUGCUGGGUGAUUACAGAUGCUGUAAUAUCACAACUUCUAUAAUACAAUUCAUGCCCCAGUAGUAUUACAGACCAUUAAUAAUUGCUUGAUUAAAGUAACUUCCACAUCUACAAAUUGCAGAAAUCUAGUAGAUUGGAAGAUGUCUUGUUGGGUGCAUUUUGGCUCUUUUGGGAUGAGGUUAGCUUUAAUCCGCAGUUGUAUAUUCAUGUAUUAACUGACAUUUCUUAACAAAUGUUAUUCAUUUAUUAGCAUUUAUGCAUUUUAGCAGAAUUGGGCAGCAUUUGUUUUAGACACCCCCACCAGGACAAGUAAUUGUAAUCCUAUACAAAGAUGUUUGUUGCUGACCAAAACACUUAUCUAUGUUUCGUUUCAAUUAUUACUUUAGAAAAAUGGGAAGUACAGUGGUACCUCUACUUACGAACUUAAUCCGUUCCGUGA